rnacentral:rRNA from 1 species
GAUGAACGCUGGCGGCGUGCCUAAUACAUGCAAGUCGAGCGAACGGACGAGAAGCUUGCUUCUCUGAUGUUAGCGGCGGACGGGUGAGUAACACGUUGAUAACCUACCUAUAAGACUGGGAUAACUUCGGGAAACCGGAGCUAAUACCGGAUAAUAUUUUGAACCGCAUGGUUCAAAAGUGAAAGACGGUCUUGCUGUCACUUAUAGAUGGAUCCGCGCUGCAUUAGCUAGUUGGUAAGGUAACGGCUUACCAAGGCAACGAUGCAUAGCCGACCUGAGAGGGUGAUCGGCCACACUGGAACUGAGACACGGUCCAGACUCCUACGGGAGGCAGCAGUAGGGAAUCUUCCGCAAUGGGCGAAAGCCUGACGGAGCAACGCCGCGCGAGUGAUGAAGGUCUUCGGAUCGUAAAACUCUGUUAUUAGGGAAGAACAUAUGUGUAAGUAACUGUGCACAUCUUGACGGUACCUAAUCAGAAAGCCACGGCUAACUACGUG